AGAAGCUCCGAGAGUUCCUCCAAUACCUACUGCACCAAAACCUCCUCCUAGAGAGGCAGGCGAAAGAUUUACUGAAGCCCGCUAACGACAACUGUUUUUACCAAAUAAGCUGCAAUAUCCAAGAUCCCUGUCACAUUCGGAAAAAAAAAUUGCUUACUAAUUUGUAUAAAUUUAAAAAUGUAUUUCUUUGUUAAUCAUUAUUGUCUUUGAACCAUUAUAAUAU